rnacentral:ncRNA from 1 species
UCGGCUCCGGUUCACGGUCCCCAUCGGGGGAGCGACCCGGCGCC